GUCUUGGGAUAGCUCAGCUGGUCAGAGCAUGGUACUGGUGACACCAUGGUUACAGGUUCAGUUCCUGUAAGGGACA